AUAGCCGGGAUAGCUCAGUCGGUAGAGCAGAGGACUGAAAAUA
rnacentral:tRNA from 1 species